GCCGGGAUGGUGGAAUUGGUAGACGCAGCGGACUCAAAAUCCGCCGGGGGCAACCCCUUGCGAGUUCAAGUCUCGCUCUCGGUACCA
rnacentral:tRNA from 3 species